rnacentral:rRNA from 1 species
GUGGGGAAUCUUAGACAAUGGGGGAAACCCUGAUCUAGCCAUGCCGCGUGAGCGAUGAAGGCCUUAGGGUUGUAAAGCUCUUUCAGCUGGGAAGAUAAUGACGGUACCAGCAGAAGAAGCCCCGGCUAACUCCGUGCCAGCAGCCGCGGUAAUACGGAGGGGGCUAGCGUUGUUCGGAAUUACUGGGCGUAAAGCGCGCGUAGGCGGACCAGAAAGUUGGAGGUGAAAUCCCAGGGCUCAACCCUGGAAUGGCCUUCAAAACUCCCAGUCUUGAGGUCGAGAGAGGUGAGUGGAAUUCCGAGUGUAGAGGUGAAAUUCGUAGAUAUUCGGAGGAACACCAGUGGCGAAGGCGGCUCACUGGCUCGAUACUGACGCUGAGGUGCGAAAGCGUGGGGAGCAAACAGGAUUAGAAACCCCGGUAGUCC